AUGGGGCUGUUUGCGCUCAACAGGCUCAUGCCUCCGCAGCGCGACCGGCAGCGGCGUCGGCAUCAAAUUCAUGGCCAUCCUCCUUUUGUUUCCCCCGUCUCAGGUCGGCUUAUGGCCUCAUUGGCGACGGGUAAAAGGAAGGGAUCGCCCUGUCAACAAGAUGACGAUUCUCAAUCUGGCAAAAUUAAGAGAACAAUCCCAGAGCUCCCUGAGGACAUAUUGCUUCGUAUACACUCCUUAAUGCCAAUGCGUGAAGCUGCUCGUGCUGCUUGCCUAUCUCAAGCCUUUUUACAUUCCUGGAGAUGUCAUUCCAAUCUCGUAUUUAAUAAGUAUACAAUUGGCUUGAAGAGUGCGAGUGGCGAGAAGUUCCACCACAAGGUUGACUGCAUUCUCAGGAAACACAAAGGCAGCUUGAAAACAUUCAAGCUUGAGUACAAUGAAAUGAAUGGGCUCGAUGACUUCAGUUAUUUUGACCGUUGGCUUCAGAUUGCUCUUAAGCCUGGGCUUGAAGAACUCACCUUCGUGUUGUCUGAAACUGAAACAAUGAGAAAAUACAACUUCCCGUGCGCUCUUUUAUCUGACAGGGUUGGAAACUCACUUAGGCACCUUUCACUUCGUUUUUGUGACCUCCAUCCCACAGUUGAACUUGGCCCCUUGAGAAGCCUGACAAGGCUGUGCCUGUGCUGUGUGAGCAUUACGUGGAAUGAGUUAGAGUGCCUUCUUUCCAACUCUCCUGCUUUGGAGCUAUUAGAUCUUACUAGGUGCGCUGAGAUUAGGUGUCUGAAGUUAUCUUGUGCCCUGCAGCGCCUCAUUGUGCUUAGUGUUUUAGAAUGCGAGAGAUUGACAGUGAUAGAGAGCAAAGCACCAAAUCUCUCUAGUCUUUACCUUAGAGGAAGCAGCUUAGACUUCUCACUUGUGGAAACAUUGCAAAUGAAGGAAUUAUACUUGCAACAAGACAACCUUAUCCGUGAUGCCUGUGCCAAGCUGCCACCCAUGCUGCCAAAUAUUGAAACUCUUGCCAUAGAAUCACCGUGGGAGGUGGUCGAUGCACCAAUGCUGCCUACCAAAUUCCUCUACCUUAAGCACCUGAACGUUAAUUUGAGAACAGGAACAAUCGAGUACCGGCCAUAUGACUAUUUUUCUCUGGUUUCUUUCCUGGAUGCUUCUCCUUCCUUGGAGACUUUGAAAUUAGAUGUGACUCAGUUGCGUAUGUUGCACAAGUCAAUUUUUGCUGAUUCUCAACUGAGGCACAUGCCUGAACACCGCCAUAGCUGCCUCAAGAGCGUGAAGAUCAGUGGUUUCAGCUCUGCGAAGUGCUUGAUUGAACUGACAUGUUAUAUUCUCAAGAACGCGGUGUCACUUGAGUGUCUUACAUUGGACACCAUUUAUGGGCAUAGGUGUUAUGAUGACGGCAAGUACGAUUGGUGUAUGCCCAUGGGGGUUGGUAUUCUCAUGGAAACCCCCAGGGCACUCUCGGCUAUCAGAACAUACAUUGAGAAUGAAGUUCCAUCUACAGUUAAGUUAACUGUUAUGGAGCCUUGCAGCCAAUGCCAUGCUAAAGCAUUACGGCGGGCAUUAUCACAGUCGUGCAAUGCCGUUUCCAUUUAA
rnacentral:rRNA from 1 species